UACAGAGGUCUCAAGCGUUGUUCGGAUUCAUUGGGCGUAAAGGGUGUGUAGGUGGCGCCGUAAGUCGGGUGUGAAAUCUUGGAGCUUAACUCCGAAACUGCAUUCGAUACUGCCGGGCUUGAGGACUGGAGAGGAGACUGGAAUUUACGGUGUAGCGGUGAAAUGCGUAGAUAUCGUAAGGAAGACCAGUGGCGAAGGCGGGUCUCUGGACAGUUACUGACGCUGAGGCACGAAGGCCAGGGGAGCAAACGGG
rnacentral:rRNA from 1 species